CCUAAGCCAAUAACAACUUGCUGACUACUCUUUUUCAUUAAGCAUCAUGCCCAAAGCACUUUUUUUUUUGUAAGAAGCAAAGUUCGGUGAAAAUGGUAAUAGGAUAGGAGUUGAAUCUGUAUCUCCUUUUCUGAUAGCUUUGGGAAGGAGGGGGUCCUGGAGGAGAAUGUAACAAUCAUAGCAUUGGAGGAUGACAAUAAGAUCCAUUAAAUUGCUGUGAACAUUUAUAUAAUCAUGGUGGGCUGAAUAACAGCCUCCGAAAGAUAUCUACAUCCUGAUCCCCAAAGCUUGUGAUGUUACCUUAUAUGGCCAAAAGACUGCAGAUGCUACUAAAUGAAGAAUCUUUUUUUUUUUUUUUUUUUUUUUGAGACGGAGUCUUGCUCUGUCAGCCAGGCUGGAGUACAAUAGCCUGAUCUCAGCUCACUGCAACCUCUGCCUCCGAGGUUCUAGCGAUUCUCCUGCCUCAGUCUCCUGAGUAGCUGGGACUGCAGGCAUGUGCCACCAUGCCUGGCUAAUUUUUGUAUUUUUAGUACAGACAGGGUUUCACUGUGUUGGCCAGGCUGGUCUCAAACUCCUGACCUUGUGAUCUGCCUGCCUCAGCCUCUCAAAGUGCUGCCAAAAGUGCGGCCACCUCCACAUUAUUAAAAUGUCCAAAGAGAAUGCCUUUGGCACUGUUUUCAGUAAUUCUGUUCUAAUAAAACAUUAAUUUAGCAUUCAUCUUAUUACUAGUUGUGCCAGAUGAGUCACUCGUUUAAGACUCAGUUGCUAACAUACAUUCAAAAUGGCUUUGAUAUACAAGUCAAGUCUUUUGAAUGCCAAAUACAUUGGAUAUUGGACACCAGUCCCCAACCCUUCUUCCCUUCCCUUCCCAUUCACUGCUCCACUGUACUCUUCCCUCUGCUCCCAUUUUCCUUACCGUAACUCAGAAAUUGAAAUUACAGCGAUCUUCAUGUUGACAAAACCCCCAAAUAGUAAUAUUUUAUUUUCUUCUUUGUGGUAAUU
rnacentral:lncRNA from 1 species